CCCUUAGAUGUCCUGGGCCGCACGCGCGUUACACUGAUGCAUUCAACGAGCUUAUAACCUUGGCCGAGAGGCCUGGGCAAUCGUGUUAACGUGCAUCGUGAUAGGGAUAGAUUAUUGAAAUUAUUAAUCUUGAACGAGGAAUUCCUAGUAAACGCAGAUCAUCAAUCUGCAUUGAUUACGUCCCUGCCCUUUGUACACACCGCCCGUCGCACCUACCGAUUGGAUGGUCCGGUGAAGCCUCGGGAUUGUGGUUCUUGCCGCUUUAUUGUGGCGUGACCGCGAGAACUUGUCUAAACCUUAUCAUCUAGAGGAAGGUGAAGUCGUAACA
rnacentral:rRNA from 1 species